AGGACGAACGCUGGCGGCGUGCUUAACACGUGCAAGUCGAACGAUGAACCACUUCGGUGGGGAUUAGUGGCGAACGGGUGAGUAACACGUGGGCAAUCUGCCCUUCACUCUGGGACAAGCCCUGGAAACGGGGUCUAAUACCGGAUAAUACUUCCACUCGCAUGGGUGGGGGUUAAAAGCUCCGGCGGUGAAGGAUGAGCCCGCGGCCUAUCAGCUUGUUGGUGAGGUAAUGGCCUACCAAGGCGACGACGGGUAGCCGGCCUGAGAGGGCGAGUCGGCCGACACUGGGACUGAGACACGGCCCAGACUCCUACGGGAGGCAGCAGUGGGGAAUAUUGCGCAAUGGGCGGAAGCCUGACGCAGCGACGCCGCGUGAGGGAUGAAGGCCUUCGGGUCGUAAACCUCUUUCAGCAGGGAAGAAGCUUUUGGGUGACGGUACCUGCAGAAGAAGCACCGGCUAACUACGUGCCAGCAGCCGC
rnacentral:rRNA from 1 species